UGACGAUUUGAUGAGCCCGCGGCCUAUUAGCUUGUUGGUAGGGUAAUGGCCUACCAAGGCGCCGACGGGUAGCCGGCCUGAGAGGGUGUACGGCCACACUGGAACUUAGACACGGUCCAGACUGCUACGGGAGGCAGCAGUGGGGGAUCUUGCGCAAUGGGCGAAAGCCUGACGCAGCGACGCCGCGUGGGGGAUGAAGGCCUUCGGGUUGUAAAGCACUUUUCGCGGGAACGAAACAGCGCUUCCUAACACCGGGCGCGAAUGGCGGUACCCGCAGAAUAAGCCCCGGCCAAGUACGUGCCAGCAGCCGCGGCCGAAU
rnacentral:rRNA from 1 species